rnacentral:rRNA from 1 species
UACGUAGGGGGCAAGCGUUGUCCGGAUUUAUUGGGCGUAAAGAGCGUGUAGGCGGUCAGGUAGGUCCGUUGUGAAAACUCGAGGCUCAACCUCGAGACGCCGAUGGAAACCAUCUGACUAGAGUCCGGAAGAGGCGAGUGGAAUUCCUGGUGUAGCGGUGAAAUGCGCAGAUAUCAGGAGGAACACCGAUGGCGAAGGCAGCUCGCUGGGACGGUACUGACGCUGAGACGCGAAAGCGUGGGGAGCAAACAGG